CAGCUGCAGCUGACUGACUCUGAGUGUUUGCAUAUGUGUCCUGCCUCUGAGCUCCACACGUUAAGAGGCCAGUGUUGAUCAGAGUCUGUCCAGACCUUUCACACACUCUGACACGCCGGCAGCACAAUCAUCAUGUCCCUGACUCUACUGCUGGCCACCCUGGGGCUCCUUGUUCAGGGUUCAUCAUCAGAAAUCAUCCUGACUCAGUCUCCUGGAUCUCAGUCUGUUGUUCCAGGACAAACUGUCUCCAUCACAUGUAGAAGCAGUUCAAGUAUCAGUAACUACCUGCACUGGUACCUUCAGAAACCUGGACAAGCUCCUAAACUGCUUGUUUAUUAUGCUUCAACUCGUCAGUCUGGAGUUUCUGAUCGUUUCAGUGGAAGUGGAUCUGGAACUCAGUUUACUUUGACCAUCAGUGGAGUUCAGGCUGAAGAUUCAGGAGUUUAUUACUGUUCACAAAGUGGUUACAGCUACCCGUUCACACAGUGA